ACCUUACCAACCCUUGACNNGGAGGGGACCGAUCCAGAGAUGGAUUUUUCUCGUAAGAGACCCCUCACACAGGUGCUGCAUGGCUGUCGUCAGCUCGUGUCGUGAGAUGUUCGGUUAAGUCCGGCAACGAGCGCAACCCACGUCUUUAGUUGCCAGCAUUCAGUUGGGCACUCUAAAGAAACUGCCGGUGAUAAGCCGGAGGAAGGUGUGGAUGACGUCAAGUCCUCAUGGCCCUUACGGGUUGGGCUACACACGUGCUACAAUGGUGGUGACAAUGGGUUAAUCCCAAAAAGCCAUCUCAGUUCGGAUUGGGGUCUGCAACUCGACCCCAUGAAGUCGGAAUCGCUAGUAAUCGCGUAACAGCAUGACGCGGUGAAUACGUUCCCGGGCCUUGUACANCNCCGCCCGUCACACCAUGGGAAUUGGAUCUACCCGAANGGNGGUGCGCCAACCAGCAAUGGAG
rnacentral:rRNA from 1 species